GCUCUCGCCGGCCGACAUGGACGCCACCGCAGCCGGCUGGCUGAUGCAAGAAGAUUGUGGCGAUGUUAUCUUCUCCAUGUGUAUGAGAAACUGCAAGCAGAAGCAAGGCUAGCAGCAGUGAUAAGCUUCGAGGCGGGUGUUGUGUUCUGGAUGGAAUGCUGGGUACGGCUCGUGCUGACCGUAUAUAUAGCUCCAGGCUCCGGCUCCAGCGAGUGGAUAUGAAUAGAAGUACAUGAGCGUGAACUGUCUGUCAGACACUGGCGCCCGGUUUAAAAAUUGGCAAUGGAGGAAUCUUAUCGUUGUAAUGGUCUCUUGAUCGAGAAUUAUUCCGCGAUCGAUCAUUGUGACCGAUUGAUCGAUCGAUCGAUCGCCAUCAUGCAUAUUCUUUGGUGAUUGGGACCCAAGCAGCAGCAGAAGAAGAAGCGGUUGGAAUGCAUAGCCGGCUGGUGAUACAUGGAGAGCUACACUCCACCUACUUAUUGGUGCUACUAGUAUUAUCUCUCCAUUUGUGCCACGUUUUCCCUUGGAAUGGAUUGAUGGAGCUGCUGUACUGGUGG